rnacentral:rRNA from 1 species
UACGUAGGGGGCUAGCGUUAUCCGGAAUUACUGGGCGUAAAGGGUGCGUAGGUGGUUUCUUAAGUCAGAGGUGAAAGGCUACGGCUCAACCGUAGUAAGCCUUUGAAACUGGGAAACUUGAGUGCUGGGGAGGAGAGUGGAAUUCCUAGUGUAGCGGUGAAAUGCGUAGAUAUUAGGAGGAACACCAGUUGCGAAGGCGGCUCUCUGGACUGUAACUGACACUGAGGCACGAAAGCGUGGGGAGCAAACAGG